rnacentral:rRNA from 1 species
CCUACGGGAGGCAGCAGUGAGGAAUAUUGGUCAAUGGGCGUAAGCCUGAACCAGCCAAGUCGCGUGAGGGAUGAAGGUUCUGUGGAUCGUAAACCUCUUUUAUCAGGGAAUAAAGUGUGGGACGUGUCCUCUUUUGUAUGUACCUUAUGAAUAAGGAUCGGCUAACUCCGUGCCAGCAGCCGCGGUAAUACGGAGGAUCCGAGCGUUAUCCGGAUUUAUUGGGUUUAAAGGGUGCGUAGGCGGCCUUUUAAGUCAGCGGUGAAAGGCUGUGGCUCAACCCCAGACUUGCCGUUGAAACUGGCGGGCUUGAGUUGGUGUGAGGUAGGCGGAAUGCGUGGUGUAGCGGUGAAAUGCUUAGAUAUCACGCAGAACCCCGAUUGCGAAGGCAGCCUGCCAGGCCAUGACUGACGCUGAGGCACGAAAGCGUGGGGAUCAAACAGGAUUAGAUACCCUAGUAGUC